rnacentral:misc_RNA from 1 species
CCCAAGAAAGUGCCGACCUCUAUGAUCACCUGAGGCUUCACUCUUUGGAUGAGGUGUUCGAAAACAGCGCCAUAUGAUCCCCAACCCUUCAAUCUUUUGCCUCGAAGGAGACUUCUGACAUGCGCUGGAGGGAAAUUGUCGUAGGGCGAGGUGGAGUUAUAAAUUCGAUCAAGAAUCGUUUGACGGACGAGUCUAGAGGGAAGCGGCUUGGCGCAGUGAGUUGUGACUCGAAAGUUGUCGAGUUGGGUGUGGAUGCUGUUGGCCGGUCCAAUGAUUUUGAUGGCAGGCGCCGGAGAUAAGGGUGGCUGGAAGCUGGGG